AACGAACGCUGGCGGCAUGCCUAACACAUGCAAGUCGAACGAGACCUUCGGGUCUAGUGGUGCACGGGUGCGUAACGCGUGGGAACCUGCCCUUAGGUUUGGAAUAACUCCCCGAAAGGGGUGCUAAUACCGGAUAAUGUCUUCGGACCAAAGAUUUAUCGCCUUUGGAUGGGCCUGCGUUGGAUUAGCUAGUUGGUAGGGUAAAAGCCUACCAAGGGGUCGAUCCAUAGCUGGUCUGAGAGGAUGAGCAGCCACACUGGGACUGGGACACGGCCCAGACUCCUACGGGAGGCAGCAGUGGGGAAUAUUGGCCAAUGGGCGGAAGCCUGAUCCAGCUAUGCCGGGUGAGUGAUGAAGGCCUUAGGGUUGUAAAGCUCUUUUACCCGGGAUGAUAAUGACAGUACCGGGAGAAUAAGCUCCGGCUAACUCCGUG
rnacentral:rRNA from 1 species